UAUUGGGCCGUGAUAAAAUGUAGCAAUUGGGCUAGGCCCAAAAAGUUAUACUCAGCAUCAUCUUUCUUAGUUUUUCUGUCUCUAAUUUCUGCUACUGAAGAAGCGAAGAAGACAAGCAUGGCUAAUGAAGUCAUGAGGUUUCAGAUAUAUGGAUGUGCAAGUCAAUAGAUGGAAUUCGAGGCUUUACACUUGUUUUCAAUUUCCAUUAACUUAUUAAGUUGAAGUAGAAUUAGUUAGAUGGAGGUGAAAAUCGAAAGAAGCACGCCAAUUGCAGCUUUUAUGGCGUUUGGCACAAAGGGUGAUGUGUACCCUAUUGCUGCAGUUGCUACAGCUUUUGCCUGUGACCAACGAAAGUAUGAUGUGGUUUUCAUCACUCACUCUGCACAUCAAGACAUAGCUGCACACUUGGCUGAAAGUAAUGUAAGAUACGCUCCUAUUUCUUCUCCGCCAGUUCUUCCUCCUCCAGAAAGUAAUGAGGAUGAUGAUAACUCUCUCGCUUUGUCAUUCAGUAUCCAUAAACGUACGGUUACAUGGGAGCAUAGACAGGAAUGCCUAUCAAUUAUGGAAAGGAUAUUUGGUGAUGGGCCGAGUUUAGAUGGUGAUUUUGUUUUGAUCAACUUCUUUGCAUUAGAAGGUUGGACACUAGCUGAAUUGUUUCAUGUCAAAUGCGUUGUUGCGGCUCCCUAUGUUGUAAACUACACUGCUCCUUCUUCAUUUCAGAGGCAGUUCAGGCGGGAACUUCCACUUCUUUAUAGGUACCUGCAAGAGGCUUCUGAUGUCGAGCUUGGAUGGAAAGAUGUGAUGCAUUGGAUGUGGCCGCUUUUCUCUGAAGAUUGGGGAUCAUGGAGAGAAGAACUGAAUCUUAGUCCUUUGCCUUUUACCGACCCGGUGACAGGUCAUCCUAUGUGGCAUGAUAGGCCGUCAUCUCCUUUAUGGUUUCAGUAAAGAGAUUGUGGAGUGUCCUGAUUACUGGCCUUCAAAAUGUCGGGUUUCUGGGUUUUGGUCAUCACCUUGCAAGUGGCAGUUUUCAUGUAACAGUUGCCGAGAUGUUUUUGAUUCAAGAAGGGAAUUUUGUUCAAUUCAUACAGGGCUACAUAGCUUUCUUAAUGCUAAUCUAUCAAUGCCUCUUGUUUUUAUAACUUUUAGCUCAGUUGCUAAAAUGGGUUUCUUGAGGAGUCCUAGAGCACUACUUUGUAUCUUGCAAGUGGCUGUGGAGAUAAUCAAGUGUAGAUUCAUUCUUCUGACAGCUGGAUAUGAAAUUAUGAACCAUUUGAUGUGGCUCUUCAACUUAUAGCUUCGGAAAAGAAUUCAUCAAUUAAUAGUGAAAAUAUCAGCCUAAAUGAUGGGAUAUCUUUGUACAACGACCAUAUGUUUUGCUUCUCUGGCUCGCUUCCUUACAGUUGGCUCUUCCAAAAAUGUGCAAUUGCUAUCCAUCAUGGAGGUAGUGGUGCCACUGCAGCUGCACUUAAGGCUGGAAUACCCCAAGUUAUAUGUCCCUUUAUGCUGGAUCAAUUUUACUGGGCUGAAAGGAUGUGCUGGCUCGGAGUAGCUCCGGAACCCUUGAGAAGAAAUCAAUUGCUUCCUGAAAAUUGUGAUAAUGUUAGCGUCAGUGAAGGUGCUAAUGUGUUGAAGAAAGCUAUAAAGCGCGCCAUGAGUCCUGGUAUAAAAGCACGUGCCCAAGAGAUUUCAAAGAGAAUUUCUCAGGAGAAUGGAGUCUCAGAAGCUGUUAGGAUUCUCAAGGAAGAAAUUAGCUAAUGCCAAACCUGCAAGUGAUAGAUUUUGGUAGUAGGUGCUUUUUGUUUGUAAUAGCCUUCUGAAAGAACUUGUAGUGGAAGAUGAUUGAAAAUGAAGGCUUGUUCAGCUUACUUCGUCACCAGGAGGCAGAGAUGUAUAAUAUUUCACUGUGAGUUUUUCUAACUCGGUAAAUGAAAAUUCUGAUUUCAAAGUUCUUUCUUCUAAAUUCCUAUCUUCAUAUGCCAUACUAUUAACCCCAUGCCCCUGAGUUUCUCACUCCCACACACAGCGUUGGACAGUGAGGGUUUAAUAUACUAAACCUUAGACAUAAAAUUGCAAAUUGAAAAUCUGUAUACAUCAAUAUCCGGAGUUAAAUAUUGUAGACUUGUGGUCAAUAAUAGAUUGUACUUCGUAUAUGAAACACAUAAUACUGUUCAGAUCUAUAGCGAUGGAAACACUUUUUUGAGAUUCUAGCCAGACCAUAACAAUGAAUAUAUGACUGCUAUCCUUCUUGCAUUUACCUUGGAUGAAUUUGUAGAACUUCACCUCUGUCAUCAACCUUAUCUCCUAUACUACUGACUGUGAGCUUUGAUAAUAAUUCACUUCAUCCGUUUAUAGAAACAGUUUAGUCUGGUCAGUAAGAGAUCAGUUUAGAUACGGGAUGGGCUAUAAACAGUUCGGUCCAGGAUUGGUUCAGACUAAAAGUGGGUCUUGAUUGAGUUGAAUCAGGUUUUGUUCCAAUCCUGGUCGGGUGUGGAAUGGUUCAGAUUGAAAGUAAUGGUGUUAUCAGUUUCAAAUCUACUUUAAAUGCAUGUGGCUUGGGUUUAGGUGUCUAUUUUACCAGUAUAUUGGAAGUUGGACUGUCGGCUGUUGGGUCGGGUACGAGUGUCUAAUAUCUAUGUUAUGUUUGUGACCACUUGGGAAUGUAGAUGUAAGCAGCCCAAAAUUGGUCAGGCAUCUUGCAGAGAUUAAAGGGAGAUGUGGGAUAUUGAAUUCAAAUCAAUUGGGAUCUUGUUUGUCUGUGGUUCUGUUUGAUGAUUGGAGCUGGAAUUCUUGAGCAUUAACAAUGACAAAGUUGAGAUACCAGUUUCUAUAGAGUACACAAUAACACAAACCUCAUUCACUUCUCUUCUAAAUUGACUAGAUUUCACCCUCCCUAACUACAUCACAACUUUGCACUCUAUGAAAAUCUUGAUAUCUCGAUGCUGUCUUUUUUAUUUAUUUAUUUAUUUAUAAAAAAAAUUGCUGGUGUUUCUAAACUAUUGUGAAGUCUAACACAACUCACUCUUAACCUAUUGAAAACCUUACCUCAUUUCGAUUUUCCAACUUUAUGCAUCAGGAACAGUUAGACUUCAAUGCAUGCUUUUGUAAGUUUUGUUCCCUAGAAUUAGUUACUAUGAAGAAUUCAUGCCUUUUCUGACUCGCUCUAUGGGAGUGUGUUACCGUUGUUGAAAAUGUUGCAAAUAUACUUUUAAAUCUGAAUUUAUUGUCCACCCUUCAUAUGCUCUCUAGUAUAAUGGUUGUGAUCUUUGUUUUGUUUGGUUUUUUUUUUGAAGGUUAUAGCACCAAUCUCAUGUAUAUGCCCUGCCUUAACAAAAUUUAGAUAUUCAAAAUUCUGGAACCAAGUGCCUUCUGUGGACAUCACUGAGUUAGAUGGAUUGCAACUCCUAAUGAUAUUUAUGGAUAUUUGACUAAAAUCAUUACCUUGACAUUUGAAUGAUUUUUUGUGUUAAAAUUUUUUCAUGUUGUUUGAUGCAAGUGUUUUAUUCUCGGUUUACAAUUAUUGAACUUACUAUGCUAGAGUUCUUAUUCUUAUCAUUGCUUCUGAAGAUAUUGUUAAAGAAACUGGCUGUUCUAACCCAAUUAGCCACUAAAAUUUCCAGACUUGAUUAACAUGUAUAUGACAAUCUGGUACUUCGGAUUUAAUUUCUUCCGAGCUUUUGAUUACUUUUUCUUUCUUUUUGUCUGUUUGACCAUUUGAGUUACUUGGUAUACUUCAAUUAACAUUGUUCUGUUUUUGUUUCUUUAUAAUCGAGUUUUACUCUUUUCUUUUUGAUCUUCUUCUUUCCUUUCUGUUCUGCGCAAAUAGCAAUGGAUGCAAUUCAUAAUUUGUUUACUAUAUCUCAUCGUGGACCUACAAUUGAAGCAGGAUCAAGGGCCUUGGAUUUCAGACAACUAUGCUUCAUGUAUGUUAAUCGGUUCGUAUUGGUUAUCAGAAUCAACUAUUUUUUUCAAGAAAAUGGGUGAUCCAUAAGUAUGCUGAGUAGGUUCACCCACCUCUAUAUCUCUGGUAGACUUCAUAAUGAGUAAUUUGUUGCCUUUCUGGCACACUCAGGUUGCUUAGAGUCUUAGACAUCUCUCAGUUCAUGAUUAUAAGCUUAAGUCUUUUUAGGUGAGCCUACUUUUACCCAGAAACUUUGGAAUUGACGAGUUGAAAAGAACUACCUUCAAAUAUCUGGCAGCCAGCUGUUCACAAUGUUCUUUAAGACUUGCAUCCCUGCAGUCACUCUUUGCUUGCAUAUCAAAGUUAUAUAAACCUUGAAGACUUUGGGUCUCUAUCUAUGUCUAUUCCUGAUUCAUGGCCAGCAAAUUCAAACAUUGCCAAACUUAAGCUUACUCGUUGCACCAUUGGCAUAGAUGAACUUUUUACAUGCCUACCCUAUCUUGAAACCUUUCAUCUCCACUCUGCUAAUUUCGAAGAUACUAUAAUGGCCUUGAGGUUUGUUUGAAUAAGUUGGUCAAAUUGAAGAUGAUCUCUGUUAUAUGUUAAAUUAUUAUGAAAUAACUUCAUAGUAUAUCAGAACUCCAUAACUUGCAAGAGUUACAACUCAAUGACUGUUUCAGCCACCAUAUUUGGGAGAGCUGGUCAACUUCUGCAAUAUCAAUGACAGUGGAUCUAGAAUCAAGUAUCUUUGCCAAGACCGAGUGGUUCAGGGCGAAAAGUUUGUCAUACAAUAUAAAAUAAGUAAUUGUUGUUGUUGACAUUAAUGCAACAUAGUACAAGCAUAUAGCGUCUUCAAUUCUCAGUAUCUCAACAGAAACCUGCAGUGAAGACUGAUACUGUGCCAGCUUUUAUUCAGGAAGUUGACGAAGCAUUAUCUGAAGAACUAAAAUGGGACAUCAAUUCUUCCAACAGUUUAUGGGCUGUCAUGAGCUGGCAUCUAAACAAGGUGUUAUUGCUGAAAUCCUGGAGAUUAGGGGAGCAUGUUGGUGCAAAAAAGAGUACAGCUGACAGUGACUAUGUGGAAGAUUAUAUAUGGAUUACAGAAAGUCAGAUUACAUUGUCAAAGUUUGUACUAGUGAAGUGUAUGCUGUGUCACUUUGACUAAGGUCACUUUAAAAGGCAACUAAAUGCUUAUAUAAUGGGAAUUUCAAGCAAAUUCAAUGUGAGAGGUACUUAAGAAGUAGGUUUGAGGCUAGAUCUUAAGUUGAAAGAUUUAACUUGCCUAAACAUGAUGCAAUCUGCUGGCUCACAUGUCCUAGAUUUAAUGAUGCCGAACAAAAGAAGCAGACUCACAACAUUUUGGAAUUUGUGAGGAUAUACGCCCUAUGUGUGCUAAGGAAGGUGAGAGUGUGAGACAAGUGAUCAUAUGUUCUUCAGUAAUCAAUUCAGCAGACAACACGUCUUAUCAACCAUGGCGAAACUAGGUUUUUUAUAAAGUGCAAACAGUUAAGAGUAUCUCUGCAAAUGGAUUAUGAGUAGGUAUAAGGAAAAAAAAAAACUGGAAGCUAGUCUGCUAUGCUUACGUUUCGGCUAUGGUGUACCAUACAUGGAGAUGUAGGAAUGAAGCUGUCUGAACUCUGAAUGUAGAGAAUUUACAGACCCGAUAAGCUCUGUGAUAAAGUUCAUUUGAGAUUCAAGUGUUCGAUGUAGAAAUACUAGCAUAUAUGAUAGGAAUUGUAUAUAGCAUUUUAUUCUUUCUUUGAAAUUUUGAGGCUUGGGACAGGUCUUCCUAGAUGCGUUGAUCUGUAUUGUUUGUACUUGUAUUGUUUUUCCAUUGGCAAUAAAAACUCGAGUUACACACAUUUAAAGUGAAGUAUCAGGAUUUGGAUUACUAA